AGGACGAACGCUGGCGGCGUGCUUAACACAUGCAAGUCGAGCGGAAAGGCCCUUUGGGGUACUCGAGCGGCGAACGGGUGAGUAACACGUGAGUAAUCUGCCCCUAGCUCUGGGAUAGCUCCGGGAAACCGGGAUUAAUACCGGAUACGACCACCUUAGACAUCUUUUGUGGUGGAAAGAAUUUCGGCUAGGGAUGAGCUCGCGGCCUAUCAGCUUGUUGGUGGGGUAACGGCCUACCAAGGCGACGACGGGUA
rnacentral:rRNA from 1 species